GAUGAACGCUGGCGGCGUGCCUAAUACAUGCAAGUCGAGCGAACGGACGAGAAGCUUGCUUCUCUGAUGUUAGCGGCGGACGGGUGAGUAACACGUGGAUAACCUACCUAUAAGACUGGGAUAACUUCGGGAAACCGGAGCUAAUACCGGAUAAUAUUUUGAACCGCAUGGUUCAAAAGUGAAAGACGGUCUUGCUGUCACUUAUAGAUGGAUCCGCGCUGCAUUAGCUAGUUGGUAAGGUAACGGCUUACCAAGGCAACGAUGCAUAGCCGACCUGAGAGGGGGAUCGGCCCCACGUGACCUGACACACGGUCCAGACCCCUAGGGGGGGCAGGAGGAGGGAAUUUGCCGAAAGGGGCGAAACCCUGACGGAGCCACGCCGGGGAAGUGAGGAAGGGUUUCGGAUCGUAAACCUUUGUUAUUAGGGAAAAACAAAUGUGUAAGUAACUGUGCAAAUUUUGACGGGACCUAAGCAAAAAGCCCCGGCUAACUACGU
rnacentral:rRNA from 1 species